UACGAAGGGUGCAAGCGUUACUCGGAAUUACUGGGCGUAAAGCGUGCGUAGGUGGUUCGUUAAGUCUGAUGUGAAAGCCCUGGGCUCAACCUGGGAAUGGCAUUGGAAACUGGCGACCUAGAGUGCGGUAGAGGGUAGUGGAAUUCCCGGUGUAGCAGUGAAAUGCGCAGAUAUCGGGAAGAACACCCGUGGCGAAGGCGGCUCUCUGGAACGCAACUGACGCUGAGACGCGAAAGCGUGGGGAGCAAACAGG
rnacentral:rRNA from 1 species